rnacentral:rRNA from 1 species
UAGGGAAUCUUCGGCAAUGGACGAAAGUCUGACCGAGCAACGCCGCGUGAGUGAAGAAGGGUUUCGGCCCGUAAAGCUCUGUUGUUAAAGAAGAACACGUAUGAGAGUAACUGUUCAUACGUUGACGGUAUUUAACCAGAAAGUCACGGCUAACUACGUGCCAG